UGCCAGCAGCCGCGGUAAUACGGAGGGUGCAAGCGUUAAUCGGAAUUACUGGGCGUAAAGCGCGCGUAGGUGGUCUGUUAAGUCGGAUGUGAAAGCCCCGGGCUCAACCUGGGAACUGCAUUCGAUACUGGCAGACUAGAGUGCGGGAGAGGGAGGUAGAAUUCCAUGUGUAGCGGUGAAAUGCGUAGAUAUGUGGAGGAAUACCAGUGGCGAAGGCGGCCUCCUGGCUCGACACUGACACUCAGACACGAAGGCUAGGGUAGCGAAAGGGAUUAGAUA
rnacentral:rRNA from 1 species